UUAUGGCUCAGGAUGAACGCUGGCGGCGUGCUUAACACAUGCAAGUCGAACGGAGUUAUUGAGAAGCUUGCUUUUUGGUAAACUUAGUGGCGGACGGGUGAGUAACGCGUGGGUAACCUGCCUUAUACCGGGGGAUAACGUCUGGAAACGGACGCUAAUACCGCAUAAGCGCACGGACAGGCAUCUGUCUGUGUGAAAAACUCCGGUGGUAUAAGAUGGACCCGCGUCUGAUUAGAUAGUUGGUGAGGUAACGGCCCACCAAGUCGACGAUCAGUAGCCGGCCUGAGAGGGUGAACGGCCACAUUGGGACUGAGACACGGCCCAAACUCCUACGGGAGGCAGCAGUGGGGAAUAUUGCACAAUGGGGGAAACCCUGAUGCCAGCGACGCCGCGUGAGUGAAGAAGUAUUUCGGUAUGUAAAGCUCUAUCAGCAGGGAAGAAAAUGACGGUACCUGAGUAAGAAGCCCCGGCUAACUACGUGCCAGCCGCCGC
rnacentral:rRNA from 1 species